GAGGGCGACGCGGGGUGCCGCACGUGCGGCUGAGAUCACACCCGUCGAACCUGAUCUAGCUCGUACUAGCGAAGGGAUCGUCAUGAGCCAGACGC
rnacentral:ncRNA from 2 species